GCGCGUCUUAACAAGCCUGCGGUGGCUGAUACAAUCUGAACAGAAAGCGCGGUGUUCAAAUAUGGUCAUUCAGGAAACGUCCGUGUUAGUAUCUAUAGGAGCAAGGGAAUCCAGACUGACAUUGUUCGGGCACAGCGUGCAGUCAACACUCCAUCAUGCUCAGCAGCAGAAUCUGCGCAGUGUUCAGCUCGCUGCUCCUCCUCGGGGUCGCGUGGACAGGCGGAGAUAUUAUAGGAGUCGAGCCGGAUGGAGUCAUUGAUUAUGGUGAAGCCGGCAUGCCCGGGUGGCGGCCAAGAUGCGAGUGCGUGCAAACGGCCGAAUGGGUGAAACCGGUGAGACGCAUCACUAAGAUCGCGGUUCAGGAGCCAAGCUGGUAUUGCAGCCGGACAGAGAUCAUGUAAGUGACCUAAUGGAACACACCGGUAAUAUUCAUUGUUUCAGCAUCGUCAACAUGCCCUAUGAAAGGACCAAACCCGACAAUGUAUCUGUCCAACUCUGAUUGAAUUUAUACGAACAAUAAUCCAGGCAAAUAUUAGUCAGAAAUGUGCACAUUGAAAAAUAAUCCCACCUCCUAGUUAAGACAGGCAUGGACAGUGGAAGUCAUUUCUCAGCAAAUUGAGCACCAAUAAGGUCAGGAAACAACUUGAACAUGGCUAAAGGCUCUUUCCAUACUGUGAUUAUUUAGUCAUAAUCACACUCCUGCAUUUAAUUUUGGGGUCAAAAGUGAAGGGGCGUUUGUCUCUGAUUAUAUGGAUUUAAAAGGGGCAGUUCACCCAACAAUGAAAUUAAAGUAUGUUUCCACUUACCCAGAUAUCUUUGCUGAGAUUACUUACAUUUUUUUAUUUUAUGCAUAAAAAUGAAUAAUCUAAAGCCAAGAUUCUACAGUGUGUUGGCCGUUACAUGCUUCAUGUCCUUUUGCUGUUUUUAACACUGCUGUGAAAGGGUUUAAUAAAGAAACACCUCAUCUUCUAAAAGUCACCCUUUACGCCACUGAUCAUACAAACAUACUCAGCCUCUCGUCUCAGUCUUGAUCCAUUUCAAAAUUAUUACAGAGCACAGCCCUGAUGACACACAGGUAAACUAUUCGCUACUGUUAUUGAGUUGGCGAUAUGUUAAUAUUUUCGCGUCUUAACAAGCAUAAAGGGGCGGUUACAAUCGGAACAGAAAACAGUUAGAACAGCGCUUUUCUGAGAAAACGACGAUUCCGCUGAAUGUGGGCAUUCAGGAAACGUCUGUGUUAGUAUAUAUACGAGAAAGAGAAACCAGACUGACAUUGUUCGGGCACAGCGUGCGGUCUACACUCCAUCAUGCCCAGCAGCAGAAUCUGCGCGGUGUUCAGCUCGCUGCUCCUCCUCGGGGUCGCGUGGACAGGAGGAGGUAAGACGCCGGAGACGGCUGCGGCACGAGCUCUCAUCACCCGGUUUCAAAGCAAGUUUGUCAACCGCAGUUUAUUUAUUUGUUGAUUUAUUGAUUUGCGUUUACAGACACUACAGGAGUCGAGCCGGAUGGAGUUAUUCCUCAGCAACAGUCUCGAAAAACAAAAAUGUCCGGGUGGCGGCCAAAAUGCGAGUGCGUGCAAACGGCCAAAUGGGUGAAACCGGUGAGACGCAUCACUAAGAUCGCGGUGCACGAGCCAAGCUGGUAUUGCAGCCGGACAGAGAUCAUACUCACUGUGGAAGGGAACAGAGAGGUGUGCCUGGAUCCAGACUCGGAGCAGGGCCAAAAGCUGCAGCACUGCUGGAAGAGCCAUGACAUGAAUGUAGCAAAAACCAAGACGUGCUUAAGGAGGAAGAAGACGGUCCACUAAGCUGACCACACAAGCCAUCAACGGAGCACAGAUUUGUACACAUAAUACAGCAAUAUCCCAUGCAGCACAAUACUCUAGACAUGCUACUGAUACGAUAUGCUUGUUGCACCACACUGAGUCCUGCGUGCAGUUCUGGGGACCACACUAUAAAAAAGAUAUAGGGGUGCUGGAAAAGGUUCAGAGAAGUAAAAAAGAUAAAGAUUCUGAGGAUAGACUGAAGCCACUGAGCCUUGUAAAAGGAAACUCAGGAGGGGUUUCAUUAUUAAUCCCUUGAAUGAAUUUUAAAAGCCUCAAAGUGAACUAUAGGCGAUUCUUCAGGGUCAGUUCGGGAAGCAGAACUGGAGGAUAAAUUCUGCAGAAACUAGGAUGUUUUUUUCCCCCACAGAGAGAGUGGUCACCGUGUGGAAUAGCUUGCCAGGACAUGCACAGGAACACUGGGGUUUUUUUAAGACCAGGCUUGAUACGGUGCUAGAUACUAUAUAGGCUUCAUGUAAACUAAGCAGUACUUACGCGCUAGUGGUAAGAAAAGGUGAGCAUUGCAGGGCUGAAUGGUCUGUUCCUGUCCUUAUGUUAUUUUACUGUUGCCCUUUUAAUAUAAGCUGAAAUUAAACACUGCAUGCACAUGCCAUUUUUGUACCUGUAUUUUAUGCAUACAAAUUACACGGCGUGUAAUUUAGUGUAUGAAAUAAAGACGUUACAAGAUGGUAAAA